AUUGAACGCUGGCGGCAGGCCUAACACAUGCAAGUCGCACGAGUGGCGGACGGGUGAGUAAUGUCUGGGCAACUGCCUGAUGGAGGGGUAUAACUCCUUUAAACGGUAGCUUAUACCGCAUACCAUCAGAUGUGCCCAGAUGGGAUUAGCUUGUUGGUGGGGUAACGGCUAACCAAGGCGACGAUCCCUAGCUGGUCUGAGAGGAUGACCAGCAACACUGGAACUGAGACACGGUCAAGAAUCCUACGGGAGGCAGCAGUGGGGAAGAUUGGAAAAUGGGCGCAAGCCUGAUGCAGCCAUGCCGCGUGUAUGAAGAAGGCCUUCGGGUUGUAAAGUACUUUCAGCGGGGAGGCGUUACCCGCAGAAUAAGCACCGGCUAACUCCGUGCCAGCAGCCGCGGUAAUUC
rnacentral:rRNA from 1 species